rfam:Felis catus isolate Cinnamon breed Abyssinian chromosome X, whole genome shotgun sequence.
GCCUGGGUGGCUCAGUCAGUGGAGUGUCCGACUUCAGCUCAGAUCAUGAUCUCAUGCUUCGUGAGUUCAAGCCCUGCCUUGGGCU